GUUCUGAAACCAGCGUCUCUGGUUACAACCAAAGAGGUUGCUCAGUCACACUCCUGAAAGGCAAAAGGAGGUUGGCCAGUAAAAAAGAUGUAAACCCUAGAUGUAGUUCUUAGUGUGGAAGCCACAGGAGAACUUCCAAUGUGGCCACGGGGAUCGCCGAGGCUUUUAUGCAGGGGAGUUCAGCCUACACCCAGGAAUGCACAAGGACAGCUUGGAGCUUAGAAGCAAGUGGAGUUGGUUCAUCUCUUUCACUGGCUCAUAAUUUUGCAACGGCGGUUUCAUCUCUACCCUGACAAUACCUUUUAGUUUUCUUACCCACUGGGGUCGAGACUUAAUUGAAGACCUCAGACGGACAGCAUAACACGGAACCUGAGACCUUGAUUUGCGGGGACAGGCUUAAAGUGUAUUCUGGAGUUGGUGCCCCCACCCCAGGGGCCGGCUCAGAGGGUUCACUUUCCAGCCUAACGGCAGGGGAACCAGAGGCUGCCGACCUGGAUCUCACCUUGAUGGAGGUCUUGUCACCUUCCUCCUUGGCUGGAGAGACAGACUGUGGAUGCUCUCCUGCUGGCCACCCAAAAACAACAAACAGACAAACAAAUAUGAAUGAGGAAAACUUGAAGAGGCCCCACGUGCCAGAGGUGGGACAGCUUGAGAUUUGGUGAGGAUAAUUGCAGUGGCUCAAAACCCAUAAAGAAGUUUAAGUCCAUGAGUUCACCGUAAUCUGAAACAAAAACAAAAACAAAAACAAAUUGAUCAUCUUUGGAGGCUAACAAUCAAUUCAUUAUCUAGAGACAGACAGAGGCUCACUAGUGGCACGAUCUUGGCUGAUUGCAUCUUCCACCUCCUGGGUUCAAGAGAUUCUUGUGCCUUAGCUUCCUGAGUAGCUAAGAUUACAGGUGUGCACCACCACGCCCGGCUAAUUUUUGUAUUUUUAGUUGAGAUGAGGUUUCACCAUGUUGGCCAGGCUGGUCUCGAACUCCUGACCUCAAGUGAUCUGCCCGCCCCGGCCUCCCAAAGUGCUGGGAUUACAGGCGUGAGCUACUGUGGCCGGCCACAUUUCCCUUCUGGUGCGCGUCCUCCUGUAGCUGUGGGAUCAGGGGAGGUAGAGAUGUCUUGUAACUGACUCAAGUUUGGCUGCUUGCCGCAGGAGAAGCGAGGUGUGGUGAAAGGAAAGCAACUUUUAUUCAGAUGCUAGCAGGUGGGAGAGUGGCCAGGCUCAAGGCUCUAAGGAACCAUCUCAGCUUUUUGGACUGCGUGAAGGGCUUUAGGAAGGAGAACUCGGUGUGGGAGACAUGUGGGAGUAGGGCAGUGGUGCAGGUGUCUUGAGUAAUUGCCCAUCCGGAGGUCUAGUUGGCAUCAUCUUGACCUUGGUCUGGUGGUGGUGGACUCAUUGUUCAUAACUCCCCUAGACAGGAGGAUUCCACAGCUGGGUUCUAUGCCUGGUUUAUUUAAAAAUGAGCCCCUGGCAUUUCUAAGCAGGCACAGAAUGAGAUAAGUGAGCACUGUGGCUGGUGGGAAAGGGAGGGAAACAGGUUUAAAGUAUGUUUCAAGGCUGCAUUCUGAGACUAGGAGGGAAAGGAAGAAAAACUUUAAAAUUCUUCUCAAGGCUGAGAUAUUUGACUACAGUCUCAUGCCCAAAAUGUUUCUAUUCUACACUGAGACCUGAUAGAUAAUUUGGCUGCAUACCUGGAGUCCAGUGUGUGCACCUGCCCCUCCCAUCCCAUACUCGCAGCCAGUGGAAAAGUCUGCAAAAGGAAGCCAGCUGGGAGUGCCCACCAGAGUCAAAGUCUGGGGCAGGCUGGUGGACUCAAGAGGAGUCUUAAAUAUUGGAAAUGUCAUCACAAACCAUCUGGGAAGCCCCCUCCUCUUAAAAAGGACAUAAAGUCAAAGUGAACAGGUGUGCUCACUCCAAGCCCGUGCCCACAACCACAGUGCCCUUCACAUUCAGAGUCAUGGCCACUAGCCACAAAAUUGUGACUUACAGUUCACAAAAUUGGGACAUAUUUACAUGUUGACUAAGUUGGGAAAUAAUUUGGAUUUUCUUUAAAAGUAGUAAAAGUAAAGAAGAAAAAGUCAAAAAGGUCUGACAUCUAAGAGGGUGAAAUUUCCUUACUUUAGAUCACAAGCAAUCAGGCUGAUCCCGCCUGAGCCCUGAGCUCCCUGGGACCCAGCAGCAGCUGUGCAUUGGCACGUGGUGCCCUGUGUCUGAUCAGCUGACUCCUCAGGCAAAACCUGCACCAUUUUCACCAGAAUUGCAGAUGUCCUCAGUGUCAUUACAAAGUUCCUAAGUCAUGACCAUUCUGUCCUGUGGAACCAGGCUGGACUAAGCUCCCAUUUCUUUAAGCCAUCCUGUCCCCUGCAGGGACUUCCAAGGUGGAGCUGAUGAGCAAUAGUUAUGAGUCAUUGGAGGAGACAUCCCAGAGGCGCCAGCUCCCCUCUGCCCUAAACUGAAAUUAAGACCUGGUGCUCUGGGUGGGGCCCCUGGAAGGGGAUGUGCAACUCAGAGGGGACCUUCUCCACCUCCACCCAGGAGACCCCAGAGGGACCAUGGCAGAGCCGGAGCCCUCUUUUUUUUUGUUCGUUUUUUAUUUUAUUAUUAUUAUACUUUAAGUUUUAGCCCUCUUUUAAAAACCAAAUGAAAAUAAGCAAAAGAAGCCAAUCGUCUCUGUGAAAUGUCCAGAAGAGGGAACUCUGUAGAGACAGAGAGGAUAUUAUUGGCUGCCGGAGGCUGGGAAUGGGAAGGUGAGGGGCCUGGGGAGGUGAUGGUUAAAAGAUUCUUCUUUGUGGUGAUGAAAUUGUCUUAAAAUGGACUGUGGUGAUAGUUGUGCAACUUGGUGAAUAUAUAAGUUAUUGAAUUGUACACUUUAAAUGGGUGAAUUGUAUGGUGUGUGAAACAUAUCUCAAUAAAGCUGUUAUUUGAAAAAUAAA
rnacentral:lncRNA from 10 species